rnacentral:rRNA from 1 species
GAUGAACGCUGGCGGCGUGCCUAAUACAUGCAAGUCGAGCGAACGGAUAAGGAGCUUGCUCCUUUGAAGUUAGCGGCGGACGGGUGAGUAACACGUAUGCAACUUGCCUCUUAGUGGGGAAUAACCCGGAGAAAUCCGGACUAAUACCGCAUACACUUAGUUAUCCGCAUGGAUGAUUAAGGAAAGAUUUAUUGCUAAGAGAUAGGCAUGCGUUCCAUUAGUUAGUUGGUGAGGUAACGGCUCAUCAAGGCAUCGAUGGAUAGGGGAGCUGAGAGGCUUAUCCCCCACAUUGGGACUGAGACACGGCCCAA